UACGUAGGGGGCAAGCGUUGUCCGGAAUCAUUGGGCGUAAAGAGCGCGUAGGCGGCCCGAUAAGUCCGCUGUGAAAGUCAAGGGCUUAACCCUUGAAUGCCGGUGGAAACUGUCGGGCUAGAGUCCGGAAGAGGCGAGUGGAAUUCCUGGUGUAGCGGUGAAAUGCGCAGAUAUCAGGAGGAACACCGAUGGCGAAGGCAGCUCGCUGGGACGGUACUGACGCUAAGGCGCGAAAGCGUGGGGAGCGAACAGG
rnacentral:rRNA from 1 species